rnacentral:tRNA from 1 species
GGCAACGUGGCCGAGCGGUUAAGGCGCUGUGUUCAGGAUCCCACAACGAGGUACUCUUCGCAGUUCGAAAGAGCGCGCGUUCGAAUCGCGCCGUUGUCA